UCAUUCCUACUCAGCUAUGGCUCUCAGUAUCUACCCCCUUCUGUUUAAUUAAGCACCAAGCAUGUGGCUUAGGGACCAUGCCUGUUAGGCUGUCCAAUGCUACAUAUGGCCCUUACCCGUCAUUGGAUGAGCUGACCUCAAGGCGUCAGCCUGCUGUCUUAGGUUGGUACCACUGCAAUUGGAUCUUACCCAUCACUGACUACCGGUCCAGCAUACAGCCAUACUUGUGGAUAGGCCUAUGCACCAGUGGGGGGGGGGGGGUGUGUGAGGUUCAUUGCCUCACCUCUGUUGGCCCCCAAAUUUGUCCUUGGUGCCAGUGGGGGGUGGUGAGUUUCUUUGCCUCACCUCUGUUGGCCCCCAAAUUUUAGACCAUCACUAGUAGAAGGGAGGAGGAUACAGAAAUGCCAUGACACUAAGCCAAUUGACGGCUCCUUUGAAAAAUUGUACCACUGGUGACACUAUCAGCAAAGAUACGCCAGCACUACCACAAUUCACUGCACCAACAGAUAGUUCACAAUGCAUACAAGUGAUGCAUAGUCCAGGCAAGUUCUUCAAGCAGUUCAAAGCAGAGGAAUCUAUCAAUAUGUCCAUUUCCUCCCAAAGUAAAUCGACUCCUUGAUUGAGCAUUACUUGUUGAGUUAUUAUUCAUUGAUGCAUCAGUUUAUACAGUUUACUAUGAUAGCUAUCGAAGAAGCUGUAGUUUGGUUUUAUCAUUGUCUUCACUGGCACUGGGAUGAAGAUAGGAAUUCUGGCAAUG
rnacentral:lncRNA from 1 species